rnacentral:misc_RNA from 1 species
CAACCAUCAAGCCUCAGGCUUGUGUUGGAGCCCUGCGGCCGCCCGCAGCCUCCUAAAACCAGUGGCGGGCUUGCAAACACCCCGAGCGCAGUAGUUUACUCUUCUCUCUGGCGUAUAGCAGGUUCCAGCCGUAAAACCACCCUAUAUUCUAA